UCGAGACUUUUACUUCCUAACCGGUUUUAUUAACACUUCAUUCGCUAGAGGGCAGUAUAAAAUCUGACAUCCUGUUAACGUCAUCGCAAUGACGUUUGGUGAUGAAAUCACUUGUUGUAGAAGAGUCGAAGGGAACAGUGUGUUAUCAAAAUAUUUUUAUAAUAUGACGAAAAUUUAACCACUGAAGCAUUAACAGAGUAUUCGCAUUUUGAAAGUGAAAUACAUUGAAGAUGGCAGGAGCAGAG